GCGUCCUUAGCUCAGUUGGAUAGAGUGCUAGACUUCGAAUCUAGGCGUCGGGGGUUCGAGUCCCUCAGGGCGUG
rnacentral:tRNA from 1 species